rnacentral:rRNA from 1 species
AUGUAUGGGUUUAAAGUAGAUAUACCUCAUGCUCGAGUUAAAGUAAACACUUCACAUACUUCUUGUAGAGUUUACUAUUAUUUUUUGAGUUUUUUGGGUGCAAUCAUUGAUUUUCACAUAAAAAUUAGGAAAUUACGUUUUCAGGUAGGAAUUAUAUCACAAAAGGCAUCCCCAGGCGUGCCAUUUUCACAGUUGAAAGAAGAUGAUAAGCUUCUAGUCGUCAACAAAUGUAUUGAUGAAUUUCCACAAUUAGUAAUGCAAAUUAGCGUCGGCUUCAGUUUUCUGGUUUUCUUUUGCAAUCUGCAUCUCCAUAGAUUGUUUGGGCAAUAUAGAACUGAAGCACUUGCAGUUUCUGUACAGUUUUGGAUAUAA